GUAUUUCAUUUUAAAAGGCAUCGCUGCCAUUUAAUGGACAUUCUAUUAACGCGUAUGUAUUUGUAAAACAUAGAUGCCGGUAAGCAAGAGCAGCCAAAAAGGAUCAGCAGACUCUCCAACAUUUCCUUUGAAAAGAAAUAACACAAUCCCAGCAUCUACAAAGGGUGCACAGGUGGGUAAAGGAUGAAUGAACAAGUUUGAAAGGCGUGCACAUGCUAGAAAGCCAGCGACAACCUCACAACCUUUGUUUAUUAUUCAAUAAUGAUCCUUCCGCAGGUUCACCUACGGAAA
rnacentral:misc_RNA from 1 species